AACGUCCCCGGCGAGAAGCGCGAGUACACCAGAACGCUCAAAGGGGUUGAGCUCCAUGACAAGGAGAUGCUGGAGAUCGUCUGCACCAGCGAACCAGACAAGGCCGGCAAGGUGAUCUCCAGGAUCUGGAUGAAGCUUGGCGGCAGGUUUCAUAGGAUCGUCGGCGUUGGUGUGCACUACACCAAUGAAGAUGAACCUCCCCAGAUGGCAGCAGUCCUGCAGUUGUGCGUCGACGAACUCUGCUUGGUGUACCACAUCACAGCGGCCACAAAAUGGCCCAAGCGCCUGACCGGCAUGCUGCAGCAUGACAAGUUGUUCACAUUUUUUGGUUUCAGCAUUGAAAGCUACAAAGAGAAGCUGAAGUUAUCCGGUAUGGAGAUCAACCCCAACAAGUUCAUUAACAUUCAGCGCAAGUGGAGAGUUCCAUACACUGGAAAAGAGUACAACUCCUUGACUGAUGUUGCAGCCAGCGUCAUCCACCCAUUCUACAAAGGCAUGAAGAACAAGAUCAACACG
rnacentral:rRNA from 1 species